rnacentral:miRNA from 10 species
AAGGCGGUUCUUCAGCGCGAAGUCCGGGUCAUCGGAACGCGGGGCGUCCGGAGCUAGGGGUCUGGAGCGCGCGG